CUAAAACGUCCGUAGCCGGUCUGAUACAUUCGUGGGUAAAUCAACCAGCUCAACUGGUUGAAUUCUGCGAGGACGGUCAGACUUGGGACCGGGAGAGGUGUGGGGUACGCUCAGGGUAGGGGUAAAAUCCUGUCAUCCUGAGCGGACCACCUGUUGCGAAGGCGCCACACUAGAACGGAUCCGACGGUCAGGGACGAAGCCUAGGGGCACGAACCGGAUUAGAUACCCGGGUAGUCCUAGGUGUAAACGCUGUGGACUUGAUGUUGGGGGUGCUCCGAGCACUCUCAGUGUCGAAGCGAAGGUGAUAAGUCCACUGCCUGGGAAGUACGGUCGCAAGGCUGAAACUUAAAGGAAUUGGCGGGGGAGC
rnacentral:rRNA from 1 species